rnacentral:tRNA from 2 species
GCUGGGGUGGCGGAAUUGGUAGACGCCCAGGACUUAAAAUCCUGUGUCCUUAGGGGCGUGCGGGUUCGACCCCCGCCCUCAGCACCA